rnacentral:rRNA from 1 species
GAUGAACGCUGGCGGCGUGCCUAAUACAUGCAAGUCGAGCGAACAGACGAGGAGCUUGCUCCUCUGACGUUAGCGGCGGACGGGUGAGUAACACGUGGAUAACCUACCUAUAAGACUGGGAUAACUUCGGGAAACCGGAGCUAAUACCGGAUAAUAUAUUGAACCGCAUGGUUCAAUAGUGAAAGACGGUUUUGCUGUCACUUAUAGAUGGAUCCGCGCCGGAUUAGCUAGUUGGUAAGGUAACGGCUUACCAAGGCAACGAUGCGUAGCCGACCUGAGAGGGUGAUCGGCCACACUGGAACUGAGACACGGUCCAGACUCCUACGGGAGGCAGCAGUAGGGAAUCUUCCGCAAUGGGCGAAAGCCUGACGGAGCAACGCCGCGUGAGUGAUGAAGGUCUUCGGAUCGUAAAACUCUGUUAUUAGGGAAGAACAAAUGUGGAAGUAACUAUGCACGUCUUGACGGUACCGAAUCAGAAAGCCACGGCUAACUACGUG